rnacentral:rRNA from 1 species
GUGUCAGCAGCCGCGGUAAUACGGAGGGUGCAAGCGUUAUCCGGAUUUACUGGGUUUAAAGGGUGCGUAGGCGGGCCUGUAAGUCAGUGGUGAAAUCUUCCCGCUUAACGGGAAAACUGCCAUUGAUACUAUAGGUCUUGAAUUCAGUUGAGGUGGGCGGAAUGUGUCGUGUAGCGGUGAAAUGCUUAGAUAUGACACAGAACACCGAUUGCGAAGGCAGCUCGCUAAACUGACAUUGACGCUGAGGCACGAAAGCGUGGGGAUCAAACAGGAUUAGAAACCCCUGUAGUCC